rnacentral:rRNA from 1 species
UACGGGGGGGGCAAGCGUUGUUCGGAAUUACUGGGCGUAAAGCGUGCGCAGGCGGUUGUGCAAGACCGAUGUGAAAUCCCCGGGCUUAACCUGGGAACUGCAUUGGUGACUGCACGGCUAGAGUGUGUCAGAGGGGGGUAGAAUUCCACGUGUAGCAGUGAAAUGCGUAGAGAUGUGGAGGAAUACCGAUGGCGAAGGCAGCCCCCUGGGAUAACACUGACGCUCAUGCACGAAAGCGUGGGGAGCAAACAGG